rnacentral:tRNA from 1 species
UCCCUAGUGGCUCAGGUGGUAAAGAAUCUGCCUGCAGUGCAGGAGACUUGGGUUUGAUCCCCAGGUGGGGAA